AUUGAACGCUGGCGGCAUGCUUUACACAUGCAAGUCGAACGGUAACAGGCCGCAAGGUGCUGACGAGUGGCGAACGGGUGAGUAAUGCAUCGGAACAUACCCAGUCGUGGGGGAUAACGCAGCGAAAGCUGUGCUAAUACCGCAUACGAUCUAAGGAUGAAAGCGGGGGACCUUCGGGCCUCGCGCGAUUGGAGUGGCCGAUGUCAGAUUAGGUAGUUGGUGGGGUAAAGGCCCACCAAGCCGACGAUCUGUAGCUGGUCUGAGAGGCCGACCAUCCGAACUGGGACAGGGACACGGCCCAGACUCCUACGGGAGGCAGCAGUGGGGAAUUUUGGACAAGGGGCGCAAGCCUGAUUCAGCAAUGCCGCGUGCAGGAUGAAGGCCUUCGGGUUGUAAACUGCUUUUGUACGGAACGAAACGGUCUGGGUUAAUACCCUGGGCUAAUGGCGGUACCGUAAGAAUAAGCACCGGCUAACUACGUGCCAGCAGCCGCAGUAA
rnacentral:rRNA from 1 species